AGCGAACGCUGGCGGCAGGCCUAACACAUGCAAGUCGAACGAACUCUUCGGAGUUAGUGGCGGACGGGUGAGUAACACGUGGGAACGUGCCUUUAGGUUCGGAAUAACUCAGGGAAACUUGUGCUAAUACCGAAUGUGCCCUUCGGGGGAAAAAUUUAUCACCUUUAGAGCGGCCCGCGGCUGAUUAGCUUGUUGGUGGGGUAAUGGCCCACCAAGGCGACGAUCAGUAGCUGGUCUGAGAGGAUGACCAGCCACAUUGGGACUGAGACACGGCCCAAACUCCUACGGGAGGCAGCAGUGGGGAAUCUUGCGCAAUGGGAGAAAGCCUGACGCAGCCAUGCCGCGUGGAUGAUGAAGGUCUUAGGAUUGUAAAAUCCUUUCACCGGUGAAGAUAAUGACUGUAGCCGGAGAAGAAGCCCCGGCUAACUUCGUGCCAGCCGCCGCCGUAA
rnacentral:rRNA from 1 species